UUACGGGAGGCAGCAGUCGAGAAUUUUUCACAAUGGGCGCAAGCCUGAUGGAGCGACGCCGCGUGGGGGAUGAAGGGUUUCGAUCCGUAAACCCCUGUCAUUUGCGAACAAUGGUUGUUCAAUAACACUGGACAACUUGAUAGUAGCGGAAGAGGAAGGGACGGCUAACUCUGUGCCAGCAGCCGCGGUAAUACAGAGGUCCCAAGCGUUGUUCGGAUUCACUGGGCGUAAAGGGUGCGUAGGUGGCCGUGGAAGUUCGGUGUGAAAUCUCGGAGCUCAACUCCGAAAAGUCAUUGAAUACUCUACGGCUGGAGGGUCGGAGGGGAGACUGGAAUUCUCGGUGUAGCAGUGAAAUGCGUAGAUAUCGAGAGGAACACCAGUGGCGAAGGCGAGUCUCUGGACGACUCCUGACACUGAGGCACGAAAGCUAGGGGAGCAAACAGGAUUAGAUACCCCGGUAGC
rnacentral:rRNA from 1 species